rnacentral:rRNA from 1 species
ACUUUUGAUGAAGUUUUCGGAUGGAUUCAGAUUUGACUUAGCGGCGGACGGGUGAGUAACGCGUGGGUAACCUGCCUUACACUGGGGGAUAACAGUUAGAAAUGACUGCUAAUACCGCAUAAGCGCACAGUGCCGCAUGGCACGGUGUGAAAAACUCCGGUGGUGUAAGAUGGACCCGCGUCUGAUUAGGUAGUUGGUAGGGUAACGGCCUACCAAGCCGACGAUCAGUAGCCGACCUGAGAGGGUGACCGGCCACAUUGGGACUGAGACACGGCCCAAACUCC